rnacentral:lncRNA from 1 species
UUUGCAAAGGCUCCUGGUGGCUCCAGCUCUCCGUGCUCCGCUGCCCAAGAACUGUGUGUGCGGGGAGGCUGCAGCCACAGGCUGGGACGGACAGGACCUGGAAGCAGACCCAGCAAGCAGAAUACACCACUGCUCUUCAAAGUUUGGCAUUGGAGAGAUCACGCUGCAUCCAUUCGACUCUGGGUGGGGAGGACCAGGCUCAGAGGUUAACCAGCACUGAACAGCAUCACCUCAAUCCAGAGCCCUCUGCAUAUGCCAGGGCAGGAACACUGUGCUAGCUGUCAAGGCUGAUGGACUCCUCCAGUAGCAACAGGUGAGUUUGGAGCAAACCUCUAGCUCUCUUUUAGCAACACCCCUCUCUGUGCUGCCAGGUGCUGCUGGGGGUGUUGCAGCCAUGGCAGUAUCUUCCCACUGCUCUCUUAUGGCAGUCAAUAUAAGCGCUGUUUCAGUGCUGCUGCUGAGUGAGCAG